CUUGCGGGGUGGAUCAGUGGCGAACGGGUGAGUAACACGUGAGCAACCUGCCCCUGACUCUGGGAUAAGCGCUGGAAACGGCGUCUAAUACUGGAUACGAGACGUGAUCGCAUGGUCAACGUUUGGAAAGAUUUUUCGGUUGGGGAUGGGCUCGCGGCCUAUCAGCUUGUUGGUGAGGUAAUGGCUCACCAAGGCGUCGACGGGUAGCCGGCCUGAGAGGGUGACCGGCCACACUGGGACUGAGACACGGCCCAGACUCCUACGGGAGGCAGCAGUGGGGAAUAUUGCACAAUGGGCGCAAGCCUGAUGCAGCAACGCCGCGUGAGGGAUGACGGCCUUCGGGUUGUAAACCUCUUUUAGCAGGGAAGAAGCGAGAGUGACGGUACCUGCAGAAAAAGCACCGGCUAACUACGUGCCAGCAGCCGCGGUAAUACGUAGGGUGCAAGCGUUAUCCGGAAUUAUUGGGCGUAAAGAGCUCGUAGGCGGUUUGUCGCGUCUGCUGUGAAAUCUGGGGGCUCAACCCCCAGCCUGCAGUGGGUACGGGCAGACUAGAGUGCGGUAGGGGAGAUUGGAAUUCCUGGUGUAGCGGUGGAAUGCGCAGAUAUCAGGAGGAACACCGAUGGCGAAGGCAGAUCUCUGGGCCGUAACUGACGCUGAGGAGCGAAAGGGUGGGGAGCAAACAGGCUUAGAUACCCUGGUAGUCCACCCCGUAAACGUUGGGAACUAGUUGUGGGGUCCAUUCCACGGAUUCCGUGACGCAGCUAACGCAUUAAGUUCCCCGCCUGGGGAGUACGGCCGCAAGGCUAAAACUCAAAGGAAUUGACGGGGACCCGCACAAGCGGCGGAGCAUGCGGAUUAAUUCGAUGCAACGCGAAGAACCUUACCAAGGCUUGACAUAUACGAGAACGGGCCAGAAAUGGUCAACUCUUUGGACACUCGUAAACAGGUGGUGCAUGGUUGUCGUCAGCUCGUGUCGUGAGAUGUUGGGUUAAGUCCCGCAACGAGCGCAACCCUCGUUCUAUGUUGCCAGCACGUAAUGGUGGGAACUCAUGGGAUACUGCCGGGGUCAACUCGGAGGAAGGUGGGGAUGACGUCAAAUCAUCAUGCCCCUUAUGUCUUGGGCUUCACGCAUGCUACAAUGGCCGGUACAAUGGGCUGCAAUACCGUGAGGUGGAGCGAAUCCCAAAAAGCCGGUCCCAGUUCGGAUUGAGGUCUGCAACUCGACCUCAUGAAGUCGGAGUCGCUAGUAAUCGCAGAUCAGCAACGCUGCGGUGAAUACGUUCCCGGGUCUUGUACACACCGCCCGUCAAGUCAUGAAAGUCGGUAACACCUGAAGC
rnacentral:rRNA from 1 species